GGGUUAUAAAAUUUAAACAAGCUGAAGGGCAGUGAGAUGGUCUUGAUGGGCGUAAUGAGUGUCUGAAUCCAUAAGUCCCACAGCCCCAUAACUUCUAUUCUCAUCGUAUUGCCCUCCCACACUCUCAUAUGUUGCCCUUUGCAUCAUGUUCGUUUGUUGUUGCUGCUGUUGUUGUAUUCUUUCGUGUUCAGCAAUCUGUGCUCGCAGAUAGUUGUUGUGGUUCUGAAGCUCCAUUUCCCGUUUUUGCAUGAAUUCCAUCUCUGCACACAAGGUUUCGUUCUUUUUGGCCCUAACUUUGCUGAUUCCUCUCUCCAAUCUGCCCUCCAGACUUUUGAGGUCCUUUAAUGACAAUGAGCUGAGUGCUUCUCCCAGAAUAUGCCUGUUUGAGUUCUGAAUUUCCCUAAUCUGUCUCUUCAGCUUGGAGGCUUCUUGUUGGUAAAACUGUACAUUAGCUUCCGCAACUGAUAAUCCGGAAUUGGAAGAGUCAGCAAAUGCUUUCUUGUACCUCUCAAUUGUUCCUCUAACACUAUUAUUUGCAUAUUCAUAGAGACGGCCACGAGUAGAGAAGACGAUGAGGGCAACUUCAGCAUCACAA
rnacentral:misc_RNA from 1 species